GACGAACGCUGGCGGCGUGCCUAACACAUGCCAGUCGAACGAGAAUUUUGGGGACAUUCUCUCGGGAAUGUAGAUGAAGUGGAAGUAGCGAACGGGGGAGUAACUCGUUAUCAGACUGGGUUUCCCAGGGGGAUAGCCGUCUGAAACGACAAGUAAUACCGCAUGAGACCGCAGAAUCGCAUGAUACGGGUGUCAAAGAUUUAACAGUUUAAGAGGGGCUCGCUUCUGAUUAGCUAGUUGUAAGGGUAAAGGCAUACCAAGGCGACGAUCGGUAGACGGGAUGAGAGGAUGAGCCGACACAUUGGAACUGGGCCACGGUCCAGACUCCUACGGGAGGGAGCAGUGGGGGAUAUUGCAAAAUGGGGGGAACCAUGAUGCAGCGACGCCGCGAGAGCGAAGAAGGUUGUCGAAUCGUAAAGCUCUGUUAUAUGAGAAGAUAAUGACGGUACCAUAGGAGGAAGCCCCGGCUAACUACGUG
rnacentral:rRNA from 1 species